CCUCCGGGUGACAGCAGUGGGGACUAUUGCACAAUGGGGGAAACCCUGAUGCAGCGACGCCGCGUGAAGGAAGAAGUAUUUCGGUAUGUAAACUUCUAUCAGCAGGGAAGAAAAUGACGGUACCUGACUAAGAAGCCCCGGCUAACUACGUGCCAGCAGCCGCGGUAAUCCGUAGGGGGCAAGCGUUAUCCGAAUUUACUGGGUGUAAAGGGAGCGUAGGCGGUUUAGCAAGUCAGAAGGGAAGGCCCGGGGCUAAACUCCGGGACUGCUUUUGGAACUGUUAAACUAGUUUGCAGGAAGGGAAGUGGAAUUCCUAGUGUAGCGGUGAAAUGCGUAGAUAUUAGGAGGAACACCAGUGGCGAAGGCGGCUUACUGGACUGUAAAUGACGCUGAGGCUCGAAAGCGUGGGGAGCAAACAGGAUUAGAUACCCCAGUAGUC
rnacentral:rRNA from 1 species